UCCGAACCGUUUCUGUAACGGCAUGCUCCAGUCGCUUUCUUCCGAUCCCCCUUCACUUCCCCUUGUUAGGAAGAGAGACCGACGGAGGGAGGCGAAAGGAAGAAGAGAAGGAAGAGGUGGAGGCAGAGCGCAGGAGAGUUGAGGAUGACGGUUCCCGGGCGAGAGAGGCCCUCGACGGCGAUGGCGCCGCCAAAGAGUUUAAGGCAGGACGCGGGAGGGUCGAGGACGGUGGUCCCCCGGGCGGCGUAGGCCCUCGAUGGCGGCGGCGGCCGCUGCCGAGGCGGGGUGCAGGGAGGUGGCGGUGACGCCGGCAACGCACAAGGUCCCUCGGCGGCUGCUGCUGCGGGUGGCGUCGGUGGUGUGCGGGGUCCAGUUCGGCUGGGCCCUCCAACUCUCGCUGCUCACGCCGUACGUGCAGGAGCUGGGGAUCCCCACCAUUGGGCCAGCCUCGUGUGGCUCUGCGGGCCCCUCUCCGGCCUCAUCGUCCAGCCCCUCGUCGGCCACCUAAGCGACCACUGCGCCAGCCCGCUCGGCUGCUGCCGACCAUACAUCGCCGGUGGGGCCGCCGCCAUCGCCGCCUCCGUGCUCCUCAUCGGGUAUUCCGCCGACAUCGGCCACGCCCUCGGCGACCGUGCCGACGGGGGAACCCGGCACCGGGCGAUCGCCGUCUGCUUGCUAGGGUUUUGGCUGCUCGUCGUGGGGAACAACACCACCCAGGGGCCAUUCAGGGCCCUCCUCGCCGAUCUUACAGGAAAAGAUCGUAGACGGACUCGGGUAGCUAAUGCUUAUUUUUCACUCUUCAUGGCACUGGGGAAUGUACUUGGCUUUGCUCCUGGUUCUUAUAGUCGUUGGUUUAGCAUCUUUCUCUUCAUUGUCACUACAGCAUGCAGCAUAAAUUGUGCCAAUCUCAAAUCUGCUUUUCUUCUUGAUGUUGUUUUUCUUAUGAUCACCACUACUGUAAGUGUCUUAUCAGCCAAGGAAAUCCCUCUUUCUUCUGCCAGUGGAGUUAUGGAUUGUGCUGGAGAAGCACAGGUGCAGUUGAAUGAUGGCCAUGAGGCUUUUCUAUGGGAAUUAGUUGGUUCGUGUAAAUAUCUUACGCUGCCUAUAUGGACGGUUCUAAUUGUCACUGCACUUACUUGGAUAGGAUGGUUUCCUUUCAUUCUUUUUUUAUACUGAUUGGAUGGGCCAGGAGAUGUGCAAGGGAAACCCAAAUGAAGGGAAAAAUUAUCAAACUGGAGUAAGAAUGGGGGCUACUGGUCUAAUGUUAAAUUCCAUUGUUGUCGGUUGUACUUCAGUGGUUUUGGAAAAACUCUGCAGGAAGUGGGGUGCUGGCUUGACCUGGGGAAUUGCCAACAUUUUCAUGUUUUUAUGGUUUCUAGCAAUGCUUAUAAUAUCUUCUCUGGCGAAAAAUGUGGAAUACCCAGAAGAUGGACUCCCUCCAGAUGGUGUUGUUAUUGCUGCACUUGCUAUUUUUACAGUUCUCGGGGCACCUUUGGAAGUCACAUAUACUAUUCCUUAUGCAAUGAUAUCUGCAUGUAUAGAACUUUUAGGGCUUGGUCAGGGAUUGGCCAUGGGCAUUUUAAAUCUGGCAAUUGUGAUACCUCAGGUACUCAUAUCUUAGGAAAGUGGGCCAUUGGACCAAUUAUUUGGGGGUGGCAAUUCACCAGCCUUUGCUGUAGGAGGACUUGCAGCUUUUGUGAGCGGACUUGUGGCAAUUAUUGGUCUCCCUUGUUCCC